CUAGAAAUACUAAGAGGGAGUUUUGGCAUGCUUGGAAGAAUGCAUAAAAACGUCUAAGUGAAUUUGUUUUAUUUAUUUUCUUUAAGAUAGUUUCAAUUUUUGUCUGGCGCUGGACAAAGCUAUUAUCAUGAUGUUCUUUUCUUCACUAUUUAGGUAGACCUUGGUUGUUUACUGAAUGGACAGAUAUUACACUGAAUAGACAGUAGUUCUAUUGUCUAGAGUAAAUGCAAUUCUCUUCUUCUGCUGGGAAAUGCUAUUGUUUAGUUGUUCUUUGAAGUCGUAUAUUUUGGGAAUCUCUGUUCAAUCUGAGUAGACAGUUUCCACCGUCAUCCUUUUGGAAAAAAAAAAUUGGGAUUGUGGCUAAUGGAUGAAGAAGUUUUCUAGGAUUAGAUGCCUCAAAAGGAGAAGAAAUAAUUUGCCACACCCCUGCUUCUCAUGCUCUUUUUUUCCAAUUACUAUCUGCAUGUAUGUAUGUUGCUUCAAAUGCUUGAUGGUUAAGGACUAUUCUAGGAAAUGUCUGAUGAACAACCUAAGUUGCUUUCGUGGGACUUUCUUGUUUUUGAAUUUUGGCUCUCUGAAUUUUUUGACCGGAAGUUUGCUUUUAUGUUUCUCAGUCACGUCUGGUGCUAAAUUUUAAGGCGUAAAUCUUCUGUCUCCUGUUCUGUAUCAGAUUGUGGUGUAGAUUUCUGUCUAGAUAUUACAGGAUUAGUAUCAGUAAUAGAGUGAUGGUUAUGCCUUGCUUCCUGCUUGCACAUCCUUGGUACGUUUAAUGUUUAGGUUUGCCUUUCUUUUAUUGGAUGGAAAUAUCUUAAUGUGCCAAUCUUCAUGAGUUAUCUUCCAGGUUGACAAAUGUUGAUAGUUUAGUUGGAUUUCUAAGAAAAACUAUAUGGCCAUAAGAUUAGCGUAGUGUGAAGAAACAUCAGCAUUCUUGGUUUCCUCUCCUUCACUUUUGAAACAAGUACUUGGGGUUUUUUAGAUAUGCUUUGCUGUAUAAAGUACUGGGAGGAUAUUCAGAAACAGUUUAAGGUCAUAUACAAAGAGUUCUUAUAUUUGCACCUUGGAGUUGAUCUUUGACAGUUAGGAACUUUAAGCAUUUCACUCUCGAGUUACUGCAAGGAGGUUGUCAUAAGUAACACGAUUAAAAAGUUUUCAGUGAGGAAAUAAUUACCCUGAGUGAUAUGCUUCUCCCUCCAUCUACUUUGUUACUUCUUUUCCAUCUAAUUUGAGUUAGAACGGCCGCUACCUACGUAUUCAUAAACUAGCGCUCUUAAUUCCUGUGGUCUCUAUCUUUACUUCUUGAGUGCCAAACUAGUGACUUCUGUAUGCUUUGCAUCUGAAGUUGUGGAGUUGCAUAACACGUGGGUUUCAUCUUUUCUGUCCUGAGUGUAACGAAUGCUCUUAUUUUCAUGCUUUGACAUGCGGGCAUGUUGUAAUGGUGUUGCAUGUAUUAUGAAUCGUACUGUUAAUCUUUUGCUUUGACAGGUGCACAAAUUGUGUUGGUGUUGCACCUAUUCUGGGUGGAUUCGGUUUAUCUCUAAUUUUAAUUUAUCCUUUGGUGCUUAAAUUCUUUUUGCUGGUGUGGGUUUGGUACUCUUUUCAAGGCAGAGGAACUUGAUUCUUUCUCUAAAAGUAAGAGAUUUUUUUUUCCCUUCUCCAGUUCUCCUCUGGGUUUGUUCACCUGGAUUUACGUUGGCAAUGGGAUCUUCUGCUGAGUUCUAUUAUUAGUUACAUAAUGACGGAUACAAGUGGAAAACUUCAUAGCUGGGUGGGUCGGACCGUAUCAUAUGCAUAUGCAUAUGCAUAUGCUGGCGAGGUCAUACUGAAGCAAAUUUCCGCGUUACAGCUAUUUAUGCGUGUUGUAUUUCGCGGAAACUCCUGGUUAUAGUUUCUGAAAGGCGAUGUCUAAUUUGCUCAGGGGUACUCCUUUUAGACCAAUGCCGUCACCCCAAGUGAUGUCUCAACACUUAAAAUGGUUUUGUGUUAUGCAUGCCAUCAAAGUGGCUAUUUUUUUUUUUUUUUUUUUUUUUUUGGUUUGGAAAUUUGUCUUUCCGCAGAGUUGCAAGUGUUGGGAGAGGAGAAGAGGAGAAGAAAAUAAGUCUCACCCACAAGUAAACCCAAAGAUAUUUCUCUUCUCCCCCGGCCUGCUGCAACCUCCUCCUGUCAACUCAAAGUAAGACUUAGGUAUUAAGUGGCUGUUCAAGACCUUUUCAAAAUCGCACCACCGAGCGAGCUAGCCUAGAGCUAGUUGUGACGAUUCAUAAGGCAUAAAGCAAGAUCACAUACUCCGUCUCCUGUGAAAGGAAAAAAUGGUUUCCAAUUCCAAACAUAUAAAUAGAUAGCAGAAUGUGAAAAAUUGCCAUCAUGUUUUGGUCCGAAGUCAUUUUCAUCCUAAAGUCAUUUUCUACAAAACUUGCUUGGUCCAAAGUUAAUUUUCCUUUCGAUAAGAUGAUUGCAAAGGGGGACUCGCUGGAUGCUCUAGUCCAAUGUCAUUUUUUUUCAUCCUAAAGGCUAAAGUCAAUUGAAAAUAGGUCUUGCUUGGUCCAACUCUGUGUUUAGUGGUUGAGGACGGACCCGACUCUGCUCGACUGAGCCUGCUUGGAUAGCAAUCGGGUGGGUCGGGAUAAUCUCGCUCACAUACGCAACCAAAAAGAAUACUGGCUGUCGCGCUGUCGGAACCACUGACACCAAGGUCCGCCGUUUCUUCUUAUACUCUCCCUCUAAAUUCCAUUUCACCUGAAAUUGCUGUGCCGUUGUUUGCGUUCAAUCGUGAUGGCGGGAACUCUUCAAACCCUAAGCCUCAAAUCGCCGGCCAUCUCGUCUCCGCCUGGCCGUCGUCGGCGCGUGCAAUCCCCUAUUACUUCCGUCUCACCCUCUGGCAGCCGGAGUUUAAGUGGGGGUGGCAAUUCGUGUGAUGUUCACUUUAUCCACCUCCCCAUUUCAAGCAAAUCUAUCAGAGCAAGUAGUAGUCUCUCCCAUCAGGGAGAUGGAAGUAAAGAGCAACUUCCACAAGUGAAAGCUGGCAGUUGGACAAAAUCAUUGUUGAAAUUCGCGUCCAAUAAUUUUCUUCCAUUAGCUCUUGUCGGUGGAGUAGCAUUAGGACUUGCAAAUCCUACGCCUGGUUGUAUUGCUGAUAGACUAUAUCUAUCAAGGUUUAGCAGUUUUGGGAUAUUUGUAAUAUCAGGAUUGACACUGCGUUCUGAUGAAAUUGGUGCCGCUGCUGAAGCUUGGCAAGUUGGACUAUUUGGGCUAGCUUCAAUUUUGUUUUUCACUCCAUUUUUUUCAAAGGUUAUAUUACUACUUAAGCUCCAACCACAGGAAUUUGUUACAGGACUGGCCAUAUUUUGCUGUAUGCCAACAACAUUAUCAAGUGGAAUAGCACUGACUCGGCUGGCUGGUGGGAAUUCUGCCCUUGCUCUUGCAAUGACAGUUAUUUCAAAUCUUUUAGGAAUUUUAAUUAUUCCUUUUUCCAUCUCAAAAUUCAUAGCUUCUGGAGUUGGUGUAUCUGUUCCAACCGAGCAGUUGUUCAGAAGCCUGUUUCUCACACUUCUUGUUCCUCUCAUUUUAGGAAAGGCCCUUCGAGAGUCAUCUGAAGGUGCAGCAAAUUUUGCUGAUCAAAAUCGUAAACUUUUGUCUGUGAUGAGUGCAGUUUUGCUCAGUCUAGUCCCUUGGAUACAAGUUAGCAGAUCAAGAACACUACUUUUAAUGGUCAAACCAGCAGUAUUUUUUGUAGCUGUUUGGAUGGGAGUGCUUCUGCAUGCUCUCCUGCUAGUGUUUAAUGGUCUUGCUAUCCAUAUCCUCUCAACAAUUUGUGGUGGCAGCAAGUCAGCUUUUGCAAAGAAAGAAAAUACCUCUGCUCUUCUACUCGUUGCAAGCCAGUACAAUUCUUCUGGGGUGGCGGCUGCAACUGUGGACACAAUGUGCAUAGAAUACAUGUUAGUACAGUUGAUUCAAUUUCACCCUGUUGUGUGGGUUUGCAGAAAACCUUGCCUGUGAUGGUAGCCGUUAUAGAGCAGCUCGGUGGUGCUUUUGGCGAAUCCGGUUUGCUGGUUCUGCCCUGUGUUGCAGCCCACCUGAACCAGAUUGUUUUCGACUCCUUUUUAGUGAGUUUCUGGCUUCAAAAAGUGCACGCGUUUGACUCUGCCAAGGCUGCCUGAGAACGUAAUAAAGAAAAAGAAUUAAGGGUGUAAUCCAAGCUGCUGACAUACAAAAGAGCAUCACAUUAAUUGUCACAGAUGCGUACAAAGGACCCAGAUUUUGUGUUGAGCAAGAAAAACUCCCAUUCUUCUCCGGCCACAGCAUUGCGGUGUAAUCUGAUUUAUUGGCACCUAUCCCUGGGAUGGCCUUAACUUGUCAAUGCAGAAAUUACAGUCUGAUGUAACUAUAAAUUGAUCUUUGUAGUUAUACCUGGCAAUUGGGCGGGUUGGAUGGCUUUUGGGUGGAUUGAUAUUGGGUUUUCAUUUAAAUGGGUGACACUCAAUCCGUCCAACUUUAGAUUGAGUUAAAUUUGGGUUGGAUUAUAUUGGGUUAUCUCAAAUUCAUGAUCCAAAUAUGAUCUAAUAUAGUAAUUAAUAAAUUUUGAUACA